GCGGGAGUAGCUCAGUUGGUAGAGCAUCUGCUUCCCAAGCAGAAGGUCGCGAGUUCGAACCUCGUCUCCCGCU
rnacentral:tRNA from 3 species